GACGAACGCUGGCGGCGUGCCUAAUACAUGCAAGUUGAGCGCUGAAGGUUGGUACUUGUACCCACUGGAUGAGCAGCGAACGGGUGAGUAACGCGUGGGGAAUCUGCCUUUGAGCGGGGGACAACAUUUGGAAACGAAUGCUAAUACCGCAUAAAAACUUUAAACACAAGUUUUAAGUUUGAAAGAUGCAAUUGCAUCACUCAAAGAUGAUCCCGCGUUGUAUUAGCUAGUUGGUGAGGUAAAGGCUCACCAAGGCGAUGAUACAUAGCCGACCUGAGAGGGUGAUCGGCCACAUUGGGACUGAGACACGGCCCAAACCCCUACGGGGGGCAGCAGUAGGGAAUCUUCGGCAAUGGACGAAAGUCUGACCGAGCAACGCCGCGUGAGUGAAGAAGGUUUUCGGAUCGUAAAACUCUGUUGGUAGAGAAGAACGUUGGUGAGAGUGGAAAGCUCAUCAAGUGACGGUAACUACCCAGAAAGGGACGGCUAACUACGUG
rnacentral:rRNA from 1 species